rnacentral:rRNA from 1 species
UGGGGAAUAUUGCACAAUGGGCGCAAGCCUGAUGCAGCCAUGCCGCGUGUAUGAAGAAGGCCUUCGGGUUGUAAAGUACUUUCAGCGGGGAGGAAGGGAGUAAAGUUAAUACCUUUGCUCAUUGACGUUACCCGCAGAAGAAGCACCGGCUAACUCCGUGCCAGCAGCCGCGGUAAUACGGAGGGUGCAAGCGUUGUCCGGAUUUAUUGGGCGUAAAGCGAGCGCAGGCGGUUUCUUAAGUCAGAUGUGAAAUCCCCGGGCUCAACCUGGGAACUGCAUCUGAUACUGGCAAGCUUGAGUCUCGUAGAGGGGGGUAGAAUUCCAGGUGUAGCGGUGAAAUGCGUAGAGAUCUGGAGGAAUACCGGUGGCGAAGGCGGCCCCCUGGACGAAGACUGACGCUCAGGUGCGAAAGCGUGGGGAGCAAACAGG